rnacentral:lncRNA from 1 species
GCUUUCCAAAUGGGACAUGAACGCCAAUAUAAACAGCUCUGUGGCUCUCUAGUUCUUCUUUCUCAAAGUUUGUAUUGAUAGUAGAGCUGAUUUUGCCCAUAUCCACGACAGCUUCCUCAUCAUGACCCGUGGUGAGCAACGGUCUCAUCUGCUCGCCGGCCCGCUCCUCUUCCAUCGCGGCCCCGCCGAGUUCGCCGGCAGCGAGACGAGAAGCGGAAGGCGGGCGGGAGCCGGGCGCUGCUGCCUGCCGGGCGGAGGUACGCGGCGUCGCUGCCCUCGGGACGGGGCGGCCGCGACUGCUCCGCCGCGCCGGGGGCCGAGCCCAGGCCGC